UGCGCGCCUACCAUGCAAGUCGAGCGGAAACGAGUUAUCUGAACCUUCGGGGAACGAUAACGGCCUCUAGCGGCGGACGGGUGAGUAAUGCCUAGGAAAUUGCCCUGAUGUGGGGGAUAACCAUUGGAAACGAUGGCUAAUACCGCAUGAUGCCUACGGGCCAAAGAGGGGGACCUUCGGGCCUCUCGCGUCAGGAUAUGCCUAGGUGGGAUUAGCUAGUUGGUGAGGUAAGGGCUCACCAAGGCGACGAUCCCUAGCUGGUCUGAGAGGAUGAUCAGCCACACUGGAACUGAGACACGGUCCAGACUCCUACGGGAGGCAGCAGUGGGGAAUAUUGCACAAUGGGCGCAAGCCUGAUGCAGCCAUGCCGCGUGUGUGAAGAAGGCCUUCGGGUUGUAAAGCACUUUCAGUCGUGAGGAAGGUAGUGUAGUUAAUAGCUGCAUUAUUUGACGUUAGCGACAGAAGAAGCACCGGCUAACUCCGUGCCAGCAGCCGCGGUAAUACGGAGGGUGCGAGCGUUAAUCGGAAUUACUGGGCGUAAAGCGCAUGCAGGUGGUUUGUUAAGUCAGAUGUGAAAGCCCGGGGCUCAACCUCGGAAUUGCAUUUGAAACUGGCAGACUAGAGUACUGUAGAGGGGGGUAGAAUUUCAGGUGUAGCGGUGAAAUGCGUAGAGAUCUGAAGGAAUACCGGUGGCGAAGGCGGCCCCCUGGACAGAUACUGACACUCAGAUGCGAAAGCGUGGGGAGCAAACAGGAUUAGAUACCUUGGUAGUCAA
rnacentral:rRNA from 1 species